GACGAACGCUGGCGGCGCGCUUAAUACAUGCAAGUCGAGCGAGAACCGGAGCUUCGGCUCCGGGGACAGCGGCGAACGGGUGAGUAACACGUGGGUAACCUGCCCUCGGCACCGGGAUAGCCCGGGGAAACCCGGAUUAAUACCGGAUGGCCCUUUCGGUCUUCGGACCGGUCGGCAAAGGUAGCUUCGGCCUCCGGCCGAGGAUGGGCCCGCGGCGGAUUAGCUUGUUGGUGAGGUAACGGCUCACCAAGGCUCCGAUCCGUAGCUGGUCUGAGAGGACGAUCAGCCACACUGGGACUGGGACACGGCCCAGACUCCUACGGGAGGCAGCAGUAGGGAAUCUUGCGCAAUGGGCGAAAGCCUGACGCAGCGACGCGGCGUGCGGGAAGACGGCCUUCGGGUUGUAAACCGCUUUCAGGAGGGACGAAGCCACUCGGGUGAAUAGCCCAGAGGGUGACGGUACCUCCAGAAGAAGCCCCGGCUAACUACGUGCCAGCCGCCGCGGUAA
rnacentral:rRNA from 1 species